AUACUUACCUGGCAGGGGAGACACCUUGAUCAUGAAGGAGGUUUUCCCAGGGUGAGGCUCAUCCAUUGCACUGCGGGUGUGCUGACCCCUGCGAUUUCCCCAAAUGCGGGAAACUCGACUGCAUAAUUUGUGGUAGUGGGGGACUGCGUUCGCGCUUUCCCCUG
ensembl:snRNA U1 U1 spliceosomal RNA